rnacentral:rRNA from 1 species
UGGGGAAUUUUGGACAAUGGGCGAAAGCCUGAUCCAGCAAUGCCGCGUGUGUGAAGAAGGCCUUCGGGUUGUAAAGCACUUUUGUCCGGAAAGAAAUCCUUGGCUCUAAUACAGUCGGGGGAUGACGGUACCGGAAGAAUAAGCACCGGCUAACUACGUGCCAGCAGCCGCGGUAAUACGUAGGGUGCAAGCGUUAAUCGGAAUUACUGGGCGUAAAGCGUGCGCAGGCGGUUUGCUAAGACCGAUGUGAAAUCCCCGGGCUCAACCUGGGAACUGCAUUGGUGACUGGCAGGCUAGAGUAUGGCAGAGGGGGGUAGAAUUCCACGUGUAGCAGUGAAAUGCGUAGAGAUGUGGAGGAAUACCGAUGGCGAAGGCAGCCCCCUGGGCCAAUACUGACGCUCAUGCACGAAAGCGUGGGGAGCAAACAGGAUUAGAUACCCUGGUAGUCCACGCCCUAAACGAUGUCAACUAGUUGUCGGGUCUUCAUUGACUUGGUAACGUAGCUAACGCGUGAAGUUGACCGCCUGGGGAGU